rnacentral:rRNA from 1 species
AUGCCUUUAUUCUCCAUGUUUGCUAAAAGAGAGCUGCCCAGGUCUCCUGUGUCUCUCCCCUUGCCCCCGUGCUCCUUUUUCCUCUCUCUCUCUCUCUCUCUCUCUCUCUCUCUCUCUCUCUCUCUGAGCUCUUCUCAUCUCACCGCCGUACUUCGUUUACAGGAGCAACCAUGGAUGCUCCGCGUUCAAGGUGUACAAGGCCGAUUUGGAGUGGUUCCCUCGCAAGCCCCUGCUAUUCCCCACCUCUCGCGGGGUUCUACAUCUAGAUUGUUUUCUUCAGUGGCAGGAAGGAGGUACAGAUAG